rnacentral:rRNA from 1 species
AUUGAACGCUGGCGGAAUGCUUUACACAUGCAAGUCGAACGGCAGCACGGAUUUCGGUCUGGUGGCGAGUGGCGAACGGGUGAGUAACAUAUCGGAACGUAUCCAAUAAUGGGGGAUAACGAGUCGAAAGAUUCGCUAAUACCGCAUACGCCCUACGGGGGAAAGCUGGGGACCUUCGGGCCUGGCGUUAAUGGAGCGGCCGAUAUCUGAUUAGCUAGUUGGUGAGGUAAAGGCUCACCAAGGCGACGAUCAGUAGCUGGUCUGAGAGGACGACCAGCCACACUGGAACUGAGACACGGUCCAGACUCCUACGGGAGGCAGCAGUGGGGAAUUUUGGGCAAUGGGCGCAAGCCUGAUCCAGCCAUUCCGCGUGAGUGAAGAAGGCCUUCGGGUUGUAAAGCUCUUUCGCAAGGGAAGAAAACUUAGCCACUAACAUUGGUUGAGGUUGACGGUACCUUGAUAAGAAGCACCGGCUAACUACGUGCCAGCCGCCGCAGUAA